UUAGUUUGGAGAAUAAAUAUGUUAUACCUCCAGAUCUAGACAAGCAGUGUUGUUGAUAAGCAGUGUAGGCUAGUGUUCAACAUACCGCUUAGCUUCUCCUCUCUUUAUGGAGUAACCCAGCUGACCUUUGCCCCCGAUUUGUAUUGAAAGUCACAACAUAAAAUCAAGAAGGCAAAACGGAGAGUGUUUUUUUUUUUCACAGCUCUAGUGUUUGCCCUCUCUUCACCACUUAUGCUGCUUUGGUGUCUACUUUAAAAGGUGGAAGUAUUCAUUACCAGCUCUGCAGUGCUCCUGAAGAAAAGACCGGAUCCUACCGGACUGCAGUGGAGAUCAGAUUGAAGAGGGGGAAGAGAGGAAAGAAAAUACCCGAAGAUGAGGUAAAGUAGCACCGAAGACCAAUGUUGGCACAAGAAGAGGAAGGAGACAGAGGGUACGUCCCUAAUGGAACCCUAUUCCCUAUAAAGUGGAUUACUUUUAACAAAAGCCAUAUGGGUCCUGGUCAAAAGUUGUGCACUACAUAGGGAAUAGGGUGCCAUUUGGGAUGCCGAGUAGCUAGGAGGCUACAAACAGACCAUGAAGCAGCUAGCUAAGGAUUACUGAGUCUGUGUUUCAGAUUAAGGCCUGAAGACCAACAAGUGUUAAACAAAGACAGCAGGGACAGGAAGAGGAAAUGAAAUGUUUACAGUGAAGGAGAGGAGGGGUGGCAGAGGAUAGUGAUAACUGACGGAGGACCAGACUUCCUCUGCUACUGUCACUGGAGGUUAGAGAUGUUCUCAGAGAACUGGUGUCAUUGGUGGAGAAAUAAAAAU